rnacentral:lncRNA from 1 species
AAUUGAACAAAUGUGUACUGCAUAAAGAACUUUUCUUGCAAAAAUUGGAAACGGAUCUGCCGCCGGAGACGUCUUGAAGCAACGACGCUAGUCGAUUCCCUGAAAUAGGGAAAUAAUUAGAGAUUUAUUAAUUUAAGGUAUUAAAACCAUAAAAUAGAGAAAAAGAAAAGAGAUUGAAGAAAGGGAUGACAGCAGCAGCCGUGAGCCACCGCGGCGUGGCGACGACCGCCGGCGCUGCAUGCGCCGUCGCGGCUCGCAGCUGCCACUGCAAUCUGGACAGAGGGAGAGAGAGAUCAAGAGGGGGCAGAAAGAGAGAGAUCGAAAGGGACCAGAGAGGGGGAAGAGAGAAGGGACAUACCUGGGAUGGAGAGGCCGGUGGUGCGUCGGAGACGGCGGUGAUGCGGCGGGCCUUGCCGGAGGGACGAAUCUCAGAGGCGAAAACAGAGGCAGAAACCGUAAAA